CAUGCAGUCGAGCGGUAGAGAGAAGCUUGCUUCUCUUGAGAGCGGCGGACGGGUGAGUAAUGCCUAGGAAUCUGCCUGGUAGUGGGGGAUAACGCUCGGAAACGGACGCUAAUACCGCAUACGUCCUACGGGAGAAAGCAGGGGACCUUCGGGCCUUGCGCUAUCAGAUGAGCCUAGGUCGGAUUAGCUAGUUGGUGAGGUAAUGGCUCACCAAGGCGACGAUCCGUAACUGGUCUGAGAGGAUGAUCAGUCACACUGGAACUGAGACACGGUCCAGACUCCUACGGGAGGCAGCAGUGGGGAAUAUUGGACAAUGGGCGAAAGCCUGAUCCAGCCAUGCCGCGUGUGUGAAGAAGGUCUUCGGAUUGUAAAGCACUUUAAGUUGGGAGGAAGGGCAUUAACCUAAUACGUUGGUGUCUUGACGUUACCGACAGAAUAAGCACCGGCUAACUCUGUGCCAGCAGCCGCGGUAAUACAGAGGGUGCAAGCGUUAAUCGGAAUUACUGGGCGUAAAGCGCGCGUAGGUGGUUUGUUAAGUUGGAUGUGAAAUCCCCGGGCUCAACCUGGGAACUGCAUUCAAAACUGACAAGCUAGAGUAUGGUAGAGGGUGGUGGAAUUUCCUGUGUAGCGNUGAAAAUGCGUAGAUAUAAGAAGGAACACCA
rnacentral:rRNA from 1 species